rnacentral:tRNA from 1 species
GGUUUCAUAGUGUAGUGGUUAGCGCGUCUGCAUUACACGCAGAAGGUCCUGGGUUUGUGUCCCAGUGGAGCCA